CCCUUAGAUGUCCUGGGCCGCACGCACGUUACACUGAUGCAUUCAACGAGCUUAUAACCUUGGCCGAGAGGCCUGGGCAAUCUUGUUAACGCGCAUCGUGAUAGGGAUAGAUUAUUGAAAUUAUUAAUCUUGAACGAGGAAUUCCUAGUAAACGCAGAUCAUCAAUCUGCAUUGAUUACGUCCCUGCCCUUUGUACACACCGCCCGUCGCACCUACCGAUUGGAUGGUCCGGUGAAGCCUCGGGAUUGUGGUUCUUGCCGCUUUAUUGUGGCGUGACCGCGAGAACUUGUCUAAACCUUAUCAUCUAGAGGAAGGUGAAGUCGUAACA
rnacentral:rRNA from 1 species